GUCCACCAUUUCCUAGACCAAGUCCUCCAAGGCCACCACCAGCUGGAGCAACUGGCUGAGGUUGUACUACACGUGGAGGAAACUCUUCUGAAUCCAGUUUUUCUUCGGCUUUGGUAUGCGUCGAUUCGGUGACAAAUUUCUUUUCCCAGAGGUCCUGUAAUGGUGAAUUUAUUUUAUUAGUACAAUGAGUAAUAGAUAUUAUUUUCAUUUAUUUUGAAACCUACUUUUAUUGAAAACAACAAUAACGUAUUGAAAAUAAUCCUACCUCAUUCUCCCAGG
ensembl:antisense_RNA K10H10.15 ncRNA